UCCCCAAGCACUUCCCAAUUGUUUGUGCAGUUCACGUCUGCAGACAUUUGCUCAUCUCCCGUCAGAACAGGAUCUGCACACGUGUUCACAUUUUCUAUUCCACAUUUCUAUUGUAGUGUACUGUAUGUAUGGAGCAUAAUAUAUUUGUGUAUAUUCUUUAUCACCGCGGACACGUGAGGUAACGUUACUCAUUUUAUAACCUUUAUGGUGUUAUAGUCAAUCAUGCUUAUGUAGCCACAUUCUUCUAUUAGCUCUGUAAAACAAUGCUAAAUGCGUCAGAGAAGUAUUAUCUUGUGUUGCAUUUUGAAGCUACCAUGGCCUUAUGACUCUCAAGUGGUGCAGCGGUCAAAGGCACAGCACAUCAGUACUAGAGGUGUCACUACAGACUCCCUGGUUCAAAUCCAGGCUGCGUUUCCAUCAAAAAACAUUAUUUGCCAAUAUCAUAACUGGAGCUGGACAUCUUUGGAGCUGAAGAAUGAGGACAGCUUUUGUAUGCUAACGUACACUCCUUAACAGUUGUACUGGAUGAAAACACAGCAAGAAAACACAUAUGCCAAUAUGUAAUAUUAAUCUAUUUUAUUGCAGUACUGGUAGUUGGUUCAACAACUUGUUUUACUAGAGGACAAAAAACUGAAUAUGCAUAACCCAUAUUUAAUAUCCAUGCAGUGACUGAACAGCAACUGCAUUUCCACCCCCAUCUCUAAGGCAUAGUAUCAUGGCUGGUCACCUGUCAAGUCACAUGUCAGGCAGACUUUGCAAUGCCUCCGUGUGCGACUACCUUGAGAAGCAGUUUGAGGGACUUUGCAGGGGAAAUGUCGUGCAGUGAGGCGUAGGGGAUUGUCUACAGCAGGACGACCCCCAGUGGAUGGGCGCCAAGGGGUGUGGUGCUCCUCCAG